UGGGGAAUCUUGGACAAUGGGGGCAACCCUGAUCCAGCCAUGCCGCGUGAGUGAUGAAGGCCUUAGGGUCGUAAAGCUCUUUCGCCUGUGAAGAUAAUGACGGUAGCAGGUAAAGAAACCCCGGCUAACUCCGUGCCAGCAGCCGCGGUAAUACGGAGGGGGUUAGCGUUGUUCGGAAUUACUGGGCGUAAAGCGCACGUAGGCGGACUGGAAAGUUGGGGGUGAAAUCCCAGGGCUCAACCCUGGAACUGCCUCCAAAACUAUCAGUCUAGAGUUCGAGAGAGGUGAGUGGAAUUCCGAGUGUAGAGGUGAAAUUCGUAGAUAUUCGGAGGAACACCAGUGGCGAAGGC
rnacentral:rRNA from 1 species